AUUCCCGGGCCCUGGCUUCUUGGCGCGAUGAGGUUCCGGUUCUGUGGUGAUCUGGACUGUCCCGACUGGGUCCUGGCAGAAAUCAGCACGCUGGCCAAGAUGUCCUCUGUGAAGUUGCGGCUGCUCUGCAGCCAGGUACUAAAGGAGCUGCUGGGACAGGGGAUUGAUUAUGAGAAGAUCCUGAAGCUCACGGCUGACGCCAAGUUUGAGUCAGGCGAUGUGAAGGCCACAGUGGCAGUGCUGAGUUUCAUCCUCUCCAGUGCGGCCAAGCACAGUGUCGAUGGCGAAUCCUUGUCCAGUGAACUGCAGCAGCUGGGGCUGCCCAAAGAGCACGCGGCCAGCCUGUGCCGCUGUUAUGAGGAGAAGCAAAGCCCCUUGCAGAAGCACUUGCGGGUCUGCAGCCUACGCAUGAAUAGGUUGGCAGGUGUGGGCUGGCGGGUGGACUACACCCUGAGCUCCAGCCUGCUGCAAUCCGUGGAAGAGCCCAUGGUGCACCUGCGGCUGGAGGUGGCAGCUGCCCCAGGGACCCCAGCCCAGCCUGUUGCCAUGUCCCUCUCAGCAGACAAGUUCCAGGUCCUCCUGGCAGAACUGAAGCAGGCCCAGACCCUGAUGAGCUCCCUGGGCUGAGGAGAAGGGUGUUCCAGGCCUGUGUGGAGCCGCCCUGCCCGUAUGGAGUCACGCCCUCUGAACUGCUCUUCGGGAGGCAGCCCUGGUUCUAGGAUGCUGAGGCCCUGGCCCGGACUCUGGCCUCCCAGAUCCCCAGCUGCCUCACUUCUCUCUUGAGAACUUGGCUCAGGGCUCCUGAGGACCUUUCCCAGCAUUACCUUCCCUUCCCUUGAAAGUAGAGAUGAGGUUUCUCCAUGUUGGUCAGGCUGGUCUCGAACUCCUGACCUCAGGUGAUCCACCCACCUUGCCCUCCCAAAGUGCUGGGAUUACAGGCGUAAGCCACUGCGCCCAGCCACUGCCAUCAUCUUUAGGAAGAGAGAAGUGACCAUGCCUGAACCAGUCAUUGGCAAGAGGAACGGUGUUAUGGACUGAAUGUUCAUGUUCCUCCAGAAUUCAUAUGCUGAAGCCUCUGUCCACACAUGCACACCAGAUGAGGGCCAUGUGCGCACACGAGGUGGCUGUCUACAAGGCCAGAAAGAGGGCUGUCAACAGGAACUGCGUCUGCUGGCACCUUGAUCUUGAACUUCCCAGCCUCCAGAACUGUGAGAAAGAAAUCUCUAUGGUGUAAGCCACUAGUCUGUGGCAUUGUUAUAGCAGCUCGAGAAGACUAAGGCAGAUGGGCUUCCAGGACUGGCCCAGACCAGCCAGGGCUCCUUGUAGAAAAGGCUGAUGCCAGGGUUGGCACAUGGAGGGUACAAGGAGGACUCGCCUGGAGUAUCUUAAGGAACCUAUCGAAGAAUAAUGGCUUGUUCCACUGGCCAAAGAUGGGACAAUUUGAACAUCAAAAGAGAUACUUACUGACUCCACUCCUGACUUCUGCUUCUGAAAAAAUGAAGUAGGUGUUUUCCCUAUUCCUCCCACUAAGUACAGUUAACAACCCUGGAUGUUACAUAUAAAACAAACAAAAAGACUCCGAGCGAUGGAGAGAAGGCACCCUAGCCUGGCUGGGAUCCUCAGGACCUGAGGCUCCACAGAGAGAAAUUCCUGGAAUCUGGACCCCAUGGCCCAGUCAGGUUACACAAAACUGAUCAUCACAGAUCUGUAGAACUAUACAAAAGUGCUAACAUUCAUGAUUAGGGUCUCAGAAGGUAAGGAGGAAGAGAGUGGAAUGGAAAAAGUAUUCAAAAAAAUAAUCACUAAAGGCCAGGUGCAGUGGCCCAUGCCUGUAAUCCCAGCACUUUGGGAGGUGGGACAAUUGCUUUAGACCUUGCAACUGGCCUGAGCAACACAGGGAGACUCAGUUUCUCCAAAAAAAUAAAAAAUUAGCCGAUCAUGGUGGUGCGUGCUUAUAGUCUCAGCUACUCAGAAGGCUGAGGCAGGAGGAUCAAUCGCUUGAGCCCAGGGGUUUGAGGCUGCAGUGAGCUGUGAUCAUACCUCUGCACUCCAGCCUGGAUAACAGAGCUGAGACCCUGUCUCAAAAAAAAAAAAAAAAAAAAAAAAAAAAUGUAUAUAUACACACAUUGGAAUAUUUUUCAGCCCUUAAAAAGCAGAAGGUUCUGUCAUUUGUGACUUGGAUGAACCUAGACGACAUGAUGCUAAGUGAAAUAAGCCAGGCACAGAGAGACAAAUACCUCGUCACCUCACUUAUGCCUGGAGUUGAAAAAAGGGCCUGGGGCAGUGGCUCACGCCUGUAAUCCCAGCACUUUGGGAAGCCAAGGUGGGAGGAUCACUUAAGCCCAGGAGUUCGAGACCAGGCUGGGCAACAUGGCAAACCUGUCUCUACAAAAAGUAAAAAAAUUAGCCGGGUGCAGUGGCACAUGCCUGUGGUUCCAGCACUUGGGAGGUUGAGGUGGGAGGAUUGCUUGAGCCAGGGCGGUCAAGGCUGCAGUGAACCAUGAUAGUGCCCCUGCACUCCAGCCUGGGUGACAGUGAGACCCUGUCUCAAAAAAAAAAAGUUAAAUUCAUAGAAGUCGACAGUAGAAUGGUGGUUAGCAGAGGCUGGAGGAGAGAGAGGGUGGGUUGUGGGGAAAAGGGGAGACACCGGUCAAAAGGUACAAAGUUCCAGUUAGGAGGAGUACAUUCUGGUGAUUUAUUGCCCAGCGUGGUGACCAGUUAAUAAUGAUGUAUACUUCAAAAUAGCUAAAAGAGGGUUUUAAAUGUUCUCAUCACAAAGAAAUAAAUAUUUGAGGUAAUGGAUAUCCUAAUUAGCCUGAUUUGAUCUUUUUUUGUGUUUUUUGUUUUCUUGAGACAGAGUCUCACUCUGUUGCCUAGGCUGGAGUGCAGUGGCGUGAUCUUGGCUCACUGCAACCUCCGCCUCCCGAGUUCAAGUGAUUCUCCUGCCUCAGCCUCUGUAGUAGCUGGGACUACAGGCAUGCACCACCACCCCUGGCUAAUUUUUUGUAUUUUUUGUAGAGACUGGGUUUCACUAUGUUGGCCAGGCUGGUUUUAAACUUCUGACCUCAGGUGAUCCGUCUGCCUCGGCCUCCCACAGUGCUGGGAUUACAGGCAUGAGCCACCGUGCCCAGCCGAUUUGAUCAUUCCACAAUAUAUGCAUGUAACAAAACAUCACACUGUACUCCAUAAAUUUAUACAAUUAUUAUUUGUCAAUUAAAAAUAAAACUAUAGAUAAGUCAAA